rnacentral:snoRNA from 1 species
AUGCUUUGAAAGUAAACUUUAUACUAUUUUUUUUUGGUACAUCAUGGCUUUUCGUGACAUGUGCCUCCCACAAAUCUUGUUACAAGGUCAGCACAUUACCCAUCUGACA